rnacentral:rRNA from 1 species
AGUGAACGCUGGCGGUAGGCCUAACACAUGCAAGUCGAACGGCAGCGCAGUAAGAGCUUGCUCUUACGGGUGGCGAGUGGCGGACGGGUGAGGAAUACAUCGGAAUCUACUUUUUCGUGGGGGAUAACGUAGGGAAACUUACGCUAAUACCGCAUACGACCUACGGGUGAAAGCAGGGGAUCUUCGGACCUUGCGCGAUUGAAUGAGCCGAUGUCGGAUUAGCUAGUUGGCGGGGUAAAGGCCCACCAAGGCGACGAUCCGUAGCUGGUCUGAGAGGAUGAUCAGCCACACUGGAAAUGAGACACGGUCCAGACGACUACGGGAGGCAGCAGUGGGGAAUAUUGGACAAUGGGCGCAAGCCUGAUCCAGCCAUACCGCGUGGGUGAAGAAGGCCUUCGGGUUGUAAAGCCCUUUUGUUGGGAAAGAAAAGCAGCAGGUUAAUACCCCGCUGUUCUGACGGUACCCAAAGAAUAAGCACCGGCUAACUUCGUG